CUAUACCAUGUAAAGGGU
rnacentral:miRNA from 1 species